GAAGGAUUUGAGGCUGGGCUCCAAUCGAGGCGGAGGCUGCAGGGCCCGCGGGCGCCCCCCGCCCCGCGCACGCCUCCCGGGAGCCCAGGAAGGCGCAGCCCCGGGGGGCCCCCUGCGCCCCCGGAGGAGGUAGCGGCGGAGGCACAUAGUACUCAUCUGGAUAAUCCAGCAUAAACUCAUCUCCAGAUCCUUGACUUAAACACCUCUUUUGCCACACAAGGUAAUGUUCAUAGGUUCCGGUGACGGGGAGGGUAGACGUAUCCGGUAAAUCUCUGGGACCCACCAUGCAGCCCACCACAGAUUAUUUGCAUUAAGAAGCCAGAGAAGCAAGGAUCCCCACCACUACUUCAUUGGCCUGCCAGAAAGGUAAGGAAAGAGUAUUAUUACCCUUUUAUAUUGUUCCUGAGUGUGGACUUCAUCUUAUUCAGUUGUUUAAUGUUUGUUUCUUUUUGAGACAGAGAAAGAGGGCAAGCAGCGGAGGGGCAGCGAGAGAGGGAGAUGGAGAAUCCGAAGCAGGCUCCACGCUCUGAGCUGUCCUCGCAGAGCCCGACGUGGGGCUCGCACUCACAGACUGCGAGAUCAUGACCUGAGCGGAAGUCGGACCCUUAACCGACGGAGCCACCCAGGCGCCCCUGGACAUCGUUUUAAAUACACUAUGUUAUGUCAUUGCCCCAAAUUGUAAAAAUAAUACCAUGCCCAUGGCAAGAAAAAUAGUACAGAAGAGAAAAAGGUGGGAAAUGAAGGACCCCCUUGGCGAUUUCUCUUUAAUUGCCCUUUCUAAAAAGUAGCCACUGUAUUCAGUUUGCAUAAUCUCCAUACAUUUUCAAAGCAUGUUCAAGUGCACUUUUUUUUUUUUUUUUUUGCUCCUAACGUCAAGAGAGCCGGGGGCGUUCCAAUGUAUCUUGAAGACGUGACAGCCCAGACCCACCCCAUUCUUUCUAAUGACUUCUAGCAUUGCACCAUACGUCACCUGUCCCCUACCGGCCAGCAUUUCACUUAACGGCAGGAUUUCGCCAUUAUAACAUACACUCUCUUUGGCACGGAUCUAAGUACACUCCUAGGAUACAUUCCUAGAAGCGAGAUUUCUCAGUCCAGAGCAUAUGUGCAUUUCUAAUUCCGACAGCCGCUGUCCGGUGCCCAUCCACAGCGCAUGCGCGGGGUGCCUGUUUCCGCACCCUCACCCGCCCCAUCAAGGGCACAGUCCGUCAGGGGAAGCAAGUCCCAAGUGAGGUACGCGGGCUUCCCACGUGGCCUCGGGUGAGGUGGACGUGGCCCCUGAGCUUUCGGGGAUGAUAACCUGUUCAGAGUUCUCAUCAGCUUGGGUUUUAUAAACAAAGGCAGAGUCUGGGGAGGGGAGCCAGAACCGUGCAGGGAGAAGCGUUGUGCAGCUCAGUAUUUAUUUCUUUAGUGCAGUUAGAACUUAAAUAUGGUCAAAACAUAUUCUUCUUUUAAUUUACACAAACAAAUAUGUUCCCUGGCUGACACCUCCGGUGCCAAGUUUCUAGGAGAAAUGAAAUUCUGCUGGGAGAUUGUAAACCAACCACUUGGGAGAAGAUGGGAACAGAAAAGCCCCUGCAAGUUUGCUUUUCACGUCCAGAACUGGCUGCUGAGAGGUGUCUCUUUCUGUGUUCGCUGCAGAUAAGCCCGCCAGUAAUUUUAGCGAAUGAGCCGUGGCACACAUAAAGGCCAGAGGAUGGAAACGCUCCGGGUUUUGAUAAAAAAGCAGUUCUGGCUCGGCUCCCUCCUGCGAGUCGCGCAAAGACCUAUCCGGAGAAGGGCUGAUGAAUUGAGGAACAAGAAACGAGGCCAACGUGAGUCUCCUUUCAAGCGCUGUGCUAAUAUGAAACCAAACAACUUGAAAUUGUUCCAAGAGGGGAUUAAAGCAACAUGUUAUUUUGA